GGGGCUCCCAUGGCGGCAACCCAAUCUGCUCCUCCUUCUUCGAAUGACGAUAACUCCCAGAAUUCAGCUCCAGCUCCAGCUCCUGCACGAGCUACGAUCGAGGAUCAUGGAGAUGCGAAGGCGGAGGUUGAGAAGCAAACCUCUCCACCAUCGGUGUUUGUGAACUCUGAACCAAUGAGAGAGGAUCAAGUGCAAAAUGCUGUGAAAUUUCUUCAACACCCUAGAGUAAGAGGCUCUCCUGUUGUCUAUAGACGAUCGUUUUUAG
rnacentral:misc_RNA from 1 species